UACGUAGGGUGCAAGCGUUGUCCGGAAUUAUUGGGCGUAAAGAGCUCGUAGGCGGCUUGUCGCGUCGGGUGUGAAAGCCCCGGGCUCAACCUGGGAAUUGCAUUCGAUACUGGAUAGCUAGAGUUCGGCAGAGGGAAGCGGAAUUUCCGGUGUAGCGGUGAAAUGCGUAGAUAUCGGAAGGAACAUCAGUGGCGAAAGCGGCUUCCUGGACCAGAACUGACGAUCAGGCUCGAAAGCGUGGGGAGCAAACAGG
rnacentral:rRNA from 1 species